UACGUAGGGUGCAAGCGUUAAUCGGAAUUACUGGGCGUAAAGCGUGCGCAGGCGGUGAUGUAAGAUCGAUGUGAAAUCCCCGGGCUUAACCUGGGAACUGCAUUGGUGACUGCAUUGCUAGAGUAUGGCAGAGGGGGGUGGAAUUCCACGUGUAGCAGUGAAAUGCGUAGAGAUGUGGAGGAACACCGAUGGCGAAGGCAGCCCCCUGGGCCAAUACUGACGCUCAUGCACGAAAGCGUGGGGAGCAAACAGG
rnacentral:rRNA from 1 species